AUCGGGUUGUUCUAGUCGGUGAGCCUGUGAAAACCGACCGAGUUCGUUGUGAUCUCGUAAAACAACAAGUUGGGUUGUGAAUUUGUAAAACAACCGGUUGUAAUCCGAGGGAUUAUAGUGAACUCCCAAGUGAGGCUUGGGGAGUGGACGUAGGAGCAAGGGUUAGCUCCGAACCACUAUAAAAUUGCUUGUAUUUGUGAUUGUUUCAUUGUCUCUUCCUUUUCCUUCAUCCACUGCAUAUAGCAACUAAUUAAUCCACUCGCAAAAGUUUUAAUUAGUUACUCACAAAGUCUUUUAAUU
rnacentral:lncRNA from 1 species